rnacentral:rRNA from 1 species
GGUUAAGCGACUAAGCGUACACGGUGGAUGCCCUGGCAGUCAGAGGCGAUGAAGGACGUGCUAAUCUGCGAUAAGCGUCGGUAAGGUGAUAUGAACCGUUAUAACCGGCGAUUUCCGAAUGGGGAAACCCAGUGUGAUUCGUCACACUAUCAUUAACUGAAUCCAUAGGUUAAUGAGGCGAACCGGGGAACUGAAACAUCUAAGUACCCCGAGGAAAAGAAAUCAACCGAGAUUCCCCCAGUAGCGGCGAGCGAACGGGGAGGAGCCCAGAGCCUGAAUCAGUGUGUGUGUUAGUGGAAGCGUCUGGAAAGGCGCGCGAUACAGGGUGACAGCCCCGUACACAAAAAUGCACAUGCUGUGAGCUCGAUGAGUAGGGCGGGACACGUGGUAUCCUGUCUGAAUAUGGGGGACCAUCCUCCAAGGCUAAAUACUCCUGACUGACCGAUAGUGAACCAGUACCGUGAGGGAAAGGCGAAAAGAACCCCGGCGAGGGGAGUGAAAAAGAACCUGAAACCGUGUACGUACAAGCAGUGGGAGCCUCUUUAUGGGGUGACUGCGUACCUUUUGUAUAAUGGGUCAGCGACUUAUAUUCUGUAGCAAGGUUAACCGAAUAGGGAGCCGAAGGGAAACCGAGUCUUAACUGGGCGUUAAGUUGCAGGGUAUAGACCCGAAACCCGGUGAUCUAGCCAUGGGCAGGUUGAAGGUUGGGUAACACUAACUGGAGGACCGAACCGACUAAUGUUGAAAAAUUAGCGGAUGACUUGUGGCUGGGGGUGAAAGGCCAAUCAAACCGGGAGAUAGCUGGUUCUCCCCGAAAGCUAUUUAGGUAGCGCCUCGUGAAUUCAUCUCCGGGGUAGAGCACUGUUUCGGCAAGGGGUCAUCCCGACUUACCAACCCGAUGCAAACUGCGAAUACCGGAGAAUGUUAUCACGGGAGACACACGGCGGGUGCUAACGUCCGUCGUGAAGAGGGAAACAACCCAGACCGCCAGCUAAGGUCCCAAAGUCAUGGUUAAGUGGGAAACGAUGUGGGAAGGCCCAGACAGCCAGGAUGUUGGCUUAGAAGCAGCCAUCAUUUAAAGAAAGCGUAAUAGCUCACUGGUCGAGUCGGCCUGCGCGGAAGAUGUAACGGGGCUAAACCAUGCACCGAAGCUGCGGCAGCGACACUAUGUGUUGUUGGGUAGGGGAGCGUUCUGUAAGCCUGCGAAGGUGUACUGUGAGGUAUGCUGGAGGUAUCAGAAGUGCGAAUGCUGACAUAAGUAACGAUAAAGCGGGUGAAAAGCCCGCUCGCCGGAAGACCAAGGGUUCCUGUCCAACGUUAAUCGGGGCAGGGUGAGUCGACCCCUAAGGCGAGGCCGAAAGGCGUAGUCGAUGGGAAACAGGUUAAUAUUCCUGUACUUGGUGUUACUGCGAAGGGGGACGGAGAAGGCUAUGUUGGUACGGGCGACGGUUGUCCCGGUUUAAGCGUGUAGGCUGGUUUUCCAGGCAAAUCCGGAAAAUCAAGGCUGAGGCGUGAUGACGAGGCACUACGGUGCUGAAGCAACAAAUGCCCUGCUUCCAGGAAAAGCCUCUAAGCAUCAGGUAACAUCAAAUCGUACCCCAAACCGACACAGGUGGUCAGGUAGAGAAUACCAAGGCGCUUGAGAGAACUCGGGUGAAGGAACUAGGCAAAAUGAUGCUGUAACUUCGGGAGAAGGCACGCUGAUAUGUAGGUGAAGUCCCUCGCGGAUGGAGCUGAAAUCAGUCGAAGAUACCAGCUGGCUGCAACUGUUUAUUAAAAACACAGCACUGUGCAAACACGAAAGUGGACGUAUACGGUGUGACGCCUGCCCGGUGCCGGAAGGUUAAUUGAUGGGGUUAGCGGUAACGCGAAGCUCUUGAUCGAAGCCCCGGUAAACGGCGUACGUAACUAUAACGGUCCUAAGGUAGCGAAAUUCCUUGUCGGGUAAGUUCCGACCUGCACGAAUGGCGUAAUGAUGGCCAGGCUGUCUCCACCCGAGACUCAGUGAAAUUGAACUCGCUGUGAAGAUGCAGUGUACCCGCGGCAAGACGGAAAGACCCCGUGAACCUUUACUAUAGCUUGACACUGAACAUUGAGCCUUGAUGUGUAGGAUAGGUGGGAGGCUUUGAAGUGUGGACGCCAGUCUGCAUGGAGCCGACCUUGAAAUACCACCCUUUAAUGUUUGAUGUUCUAACGUUGGCCCCUGAUCGGGGUUGCGGACAGUGUCUGGUGGGUAGUUUGACUGGGGCGGUCUCCUCCUAAAGAGUAACGGAGGAGCACGAAGGUUGGCUAAUCCUGGUCGGACAUCAGGAGGUUAGUGCAAUGGCAUAAGCCAGCUUGACUGCGAGCGUGACGGCGCGAGCAGGUGCGAAAGCAGGUCAUAGUGAUCCGGUGGUUCUGAAUGGAAGGGCCAUCGCUCAACGGAUAAAAGGUACUCCGGGGAUAACAGGCUGAUACCGCCCAAGAGUUCAUAUCGACGGCGGUGUUUGGCACCUCGAUGUCGGCUCAUCACAUCCUGGGGCUGAAGUAGGUCCCAAGGGUAUGGCUGUUCGCCAUUUAAAGUGGUACGCGAGCUGGGUUUAGAACGUCGUGAGACAGUUCGGUCCCUAUCUCGCCGUGGGCGCUGGAGAACUGAGGGGGCUGCUCCUAGUACGAGAGGACCGGAGUGGACGCAUCACUGGUGUUCGGGUUGUCAUGCCAAUGGCACUGCCCGGUAGCUAAAUGCGGAAGAGAUAAGUGCUGAAAGCAUCUAAGCACGAAACUUGCCCCGAGAUGAGUUCUCCCUGACCCUUUAAGGGUCCUGAAGGAACGUUGAAGACGACGACGUUGAUAGGCCGGGUGUGUAAGCGCAGCGAUGCGUUGAGCUAACCGGUACUAAUGAACCGUGAGGCUUAACCUU